CGGACCGGCGCACGGGUGAAUAACGCGUAUGCAACCUGCCUGAUACCGGGGUAUAGCCCAUGGAAACGUGGAUUAACACCCCAUAGUACUUUUAUUCCUGCAUGGGAUGUGAGUUAAAUGUUCAAGGUAUCGGAUGGGCAUGCGUCCUAUUAGUUAGUUGGCGGGGUAACAGCCCACCAAGACGAUGAUAGGUAGGGGUUCUGAGAGGAAGGUCCCCCACAUUGGAACUGAGACACGGUCCAA
rnacentral:rRNA from 1 species